GAGCCGGCGGUGCGCACAAGGCGACGACGCGUGCGGAGAUGCGGGACGGCGGCGGCGCGAGCCGAGGCGUAGGAUGGCGGUCACAGAGGACGCACGCGGUUGGGGUCUUGGGGAGGGGCGGCCGGAGGACCUUUGGCUCCAUGGCCGGAAUCGGCAGGGAAGGUGACAAAUCGGGGCACGGCUCGGCCCGUUCAUUAGUGGGCCUAACGUUUAUUAGAGGUGGACCGGGCCCGGGCCCGGCACCGUUGGCCAACCCCUGCCACGGUGCCGCCGCGCUCCGCCCGUCAGUCGCCGCCGCCCCUCGUCUCUCCCCACGUCUCCCGUUAGCUCUCCUCUCCUCCUCCCAGCCUAGCCCCGCCGCCCGGAGGUAGCGCUCCUCCUCCCCCUCCUCCUCCUCCUCGGCCGCUUUGCCUUCUUGCUCCCCGGCCGCUCCCAUCCCAUCCUCAUCCUCCUGUGGUUGCGCCAGCCGCCUUAAGCUCGCCGCAUCCGUACAGAGCCGCCGAAUCUCCCGUUGCCCCACCGAACCGGCUCGCGAUGACAAGUGAACUAUAUUUGUAACUCUGCACAUUCACAUCGAAAAUUGUAGCUCUGCCCAAUGGACGCAGAGCAUGUGGAACGGGAAAACAGGCACCUCAAGAAGAAGAGGAAGCAUUGUGAGGGCAAGGCCAAGGAUAAAUCAAAGCGUCGGAGAGACCAAGAGGCAGCUGAGAUUAAGUCGGCAGCAGAUAUCCGAGGAAAUGGUGAGGAGGCUGCGAUAAGCAUUGUAGAAGAGGAAGGCCACAAGAGCAAGAAACAGAAGUGCCGCAGUAAGGGGGAGAAGAACAAGGUGAACGGUUCAGACCUUUUUGGUAGAACAAAUCACGGUGUUGGUAAGGAGCAGGCAAAAAAGUCAGGCUUGAUGGCAGUAAAACACUGUUUGGAGCAUGCCGAAGGUGAUACAAGCAAAGAUAAUGUGAAGAAAGACAAGAGAAAAAUAAGGAGGAUAAGAGGAGAAGAGCUGAGACGACUGGGCAGAAGCAGACGUUUGAUACUACUGUUGUUAAGGAGGCAUCUGAAAAGUUGGACUUGAGGGCGGUAAAUGAUACCAGCAAAGACAAUGUGAAGAAAGACAAGAAGAAAAAGAAAGAAGCUGGGACGACAAUGCAGAAGCAGAUAUUUGAUACAGCUAUUGCAGAUUUAGGGUCAGAUCAUGCAAAGAGAUACAAGGUUGAAGGGAAACUCUCUAGCAAUAGCAAGUUAAAGAAGAGCAAACAGAAGCGUAAAGAUGGUGAGCCUGCUUUAGACAUUUCUGCUUGUGAUCAAAUUGUGACAAGAGAAGAUAAUAAAAGACAGAAGGAGCAUUCGUUUGUUCUAGAGCAGAGCAGCCAAAAUUACAAUACUAACAAAGGUGAGAACAGAGAGAUCAAGGAGAGGGAAAAUGGAAGUGACAAAGCAAGUCCAGGCCUUAGCCCAAAUGGAUCUGCUGGGGGAGAGGAAGCUGAUAUAGAUGGUAAGAAUGAUAAGCAGAAAAGGAAGAGCAAGGAGGUCGUUGGAGGAGGAAAAAAGGAGAAAGAAAAGGCAGCUCGGUCAAAGAACAAGGGUAAGCGGGUGAGCUUUGCUGAUUCCAUGGAGGUGUUUACCAUUGAAGGUGGUGAUGAUGAAGACGGUGGUCGCAGUGGUGAAUCUAAACUUGUGCGUGGAAAGCGGUUUACCCCAGAGGAAGAUACCAUCCUCAUGGAAGCUAUGAAGAAUUACGCAGAGAUGAAGCAACUUGGGGAGAAAGGCUUGGAAAUGUUUCGUAAUUCUUCAAAACACCCAGAGCUCAAGGGCUGUUGGAGUGAUAUAGCGGAAUCGUUACCCCAUAGACCCCUUGGUGCCACAUACAGACGAGCGAAUGUAUUACUCUGUAGGAGUGCUGAACGUAAAUGGACACAGGAAGAAUAUGAAAAGAUUCGAUGGUUUGUCGAAGAAAAUGGCACGGAUUGGAAGACACUGGCACAGGAACUUGGAAAGAGUCGUAUCCAUGUAAAAGACGCUUGGAGAAGAAUAAAACCUAAGAAUUUGAAAAAAGGAAGAUGGACUCAGGAGGAGAUUCAAAUCCUGUUUGAUUUGGUGAACAUUGACUUGCGUCUGAAAGCCCGUGAAGAGAAAAAGAUUGAUGAUCAUCGUGUGCUCAAAGAUAACAUUUCCUGGGAGGCUAUCAGUGAUAAGAUGACCACCCGCAGUCACAAGUUUUGCUGCCUGAAGUGGUAUCAAUCAUUGGCAUCUCCGCUUGUUCAACAAGGAAUCUGGGCAGAUGUUGAUGAUUAUCUACUGGUGGAAGCGCUUCAAAAGAUUGAUGCUGUUUGUAUUGAAGAUGUUGAUUGGGACUGCCUUCUCGAUCACAGGCGAGCGAUGAGCCCCUGAGUACUGAUCUAGCUCGCAACCUUGCAAAAAUAUGUCAUGCUCUUAAUCACAUAGUAGAUAUACCAUUAGAUCUGAAUGUUAUCUAAGAUGAAAAAUAGUGAUUGGUGGAUCAAUGGAGCCCCAAAACUUUAUCAGCUCAAAGAACCAAAAGCAUCCAGGUCUGUAGGUGUGUCCCAGCAAAGCAUGUUCUCAAUUCAACUUCUUCAUUGUUGUUUCAUGACCCACAAAUUUGGAUCAUGUACUGGGUUUAAUUAAAUCCUCUUAAUAACCCUGACAUACACUAGUACUGUUUAGUGUUGGAUUAGAGAUACUCAGUAUUUCCACAGAACCCUUGGGCCUCAUGUCAAUUUGCAGAUGGAAUGCAUUUGCAUACACAAACGAAUUCCCCUAUCCUUUUCUGUUUAGAUA